CUGCAGGAGAACUUUUUGAUGAAAUCUGCACUGCCAGCAGAUACAAUGAAACUGAGCAAAAAUGUGGUGUUACUGCCGGCUGGUUCACAUGCCUAUGUCUUAUAUUUGUGGGAAGACAUUUAGUUUGUCUAAUAAUUCCUCUUAUUCUGAAACCACGGGAAGAAAUAGUCUUUCAGCCUUAUGCGAAAAUAAACCGAAAUAGAGGAGGCCAUCUAUGUGCUAAGAUUCAAGAUACCUACUGUCCCCAUCCACAGAUUCAAGAUAUUAUAUGGGACUGCCUUUACUCACUGAGCCGUUUCAUACAUACUGGCCAUUUAACUGUUACGAGAAAAACUGUAAACGUCGGAUAAAACAAAGGAAAAGGGAUAUUGUAUUCCAAUGAUUAAACGAGUUCACAAAGGUUGAGAGAAUUAAUACGGAGUCUCUCACCUCCUCUUACACUU